AGCUCGUAGGCGGUUUGUCGCGUCUGCCGUGAAAGUCCGGGGCUCAACUCCGGAUCUGCGGUGGGUACGGGCAGACUAGAGUGAUGUAGGGGAGACUGAAAUUCCUGGUGUAGCGGUGAAAUGCGCAGAUAUCAGGAGGAACACCGAUGGCGAAGGCAGGUCUCUGGGCAUUAACUGACGCUGAGGAGCGAAAGCAUGGGGAGCGAACAGGAUUAGAUACCCUGGUAGUCCAUGCCGUAAACGUUGGGCACUAGGUGUGGGGGACAUUCCACGUUUUCCGCGCCGUAGCUAACGCAUUAAGUGCCCCGCCUGGGGAGUACGGCCGCAAGGCUAAAACUCAAAGGAAUUGACGGGGGCCCGCACAAGCGGCGGAGCAUGCGGAUUAAUUCGAUGCAACGCGAAGAACCUUACCAAGGCUUGACAUGAACCGGUAAGACCUGGAAACAGGUCCCCCACUUGUGGUCGGUUUACAGGUGGUGCAUGGUUGUCGUCAGCUCGUGUCGUGAGAUGUUGGGUUAAGUCCCGCAACGAGCGCAACCCUCGUUCCAUGUUGCCAGCGCGUUAUGGCGGGGACUCAUGGGAGACUGCCGGGGUCAACUCGGAGGAAGGUGGGGACGACGUCAAAUCAUCAUGCCCCUUAUGUCUUGGGCUUCACGCAUGCUACAAUGGCCGGUACAAAGGGUUGCGAUACUGUGAGGUGGAGCUAAUCCCAAAAAGCCGGUCUCAGUUCGGAUUGGGGUCUGCAACUCGACCCCAUGAAGUCGGAGUCGCUAGUAAUCGCAGAUCAGCAACGCUGCGGUGAAUACGUUCCCGGGCCUUGUACACACCGCCCGUCAAGUCAC
rnacentral:rRNA from 1 species